rnacentral:rRNA from 1 species
GCAAGCGUUGUUCGGAAUUACUGGGCGUAAAGGGCUCGUAGGCGGCCAACUAAGUCAGACGUGAAAUCCCUCGGCUUAACCGGGGAACUGCGUCUGAUACUGGAUGGCUUGAGUUUGGGAGAGGGAUGCGGAAUUCCAGGUGUAGCGGUGAAAUGCGUAGAUAUCUGGAGGAACACCGGUGGCGAAGGCGGCAUCCUGGACCAACACUGACGCUGAGGAGCGAAAGCCAGGGGAGCAAACGGG